AACGAACGCUGGCGGCAUGCCUAACACAUGCAAGUCGAACGAGACCUUCGGGUCUAGUGGCGCACGGGUGCGUAACGCGUGGGAACCUGCCCUUAGGUUCGGAAUAACUCCCCGUAAGGGGUGCUAAUACCGGAUAAUGUCCUCGGACCAAAGAUUUAUCGCCGUUGGAUGGGCCCGCGUUGGAUUAGCCAGUUGGUAGGGUAAAAGCCUACCAAGGCGACGUUACAUAGCUUGUCUGAGAGGAUGAUCAGCCACUCUGAGACUGAGACACGGCCCAGACUCCUGCGGGAGGCAGCAAUGGCUGAUAUUGGACAAUGGGCGAAAGCCUGAUCCAGCAAUGCCGCGUGAGUGAUGAAGGCCUUAGGGUUGUAAAGCUCUUUAACCCGGGAUGAUAAUGACGGUACCGGAAGAAUAAGCUCCGGCUAACUCCGUG
rnacentral:rRNA from 1 species